ACCGAUUCGAGUACAUCAACGCCGGUCUAUACUUGUUCGCUACCAUAUUGCUCGCUGGUGGGUUCGUAGCUCAGAUCUCGAAAGAGCAAUUGUCCGGUUUGGUUCUGUUGCAGAUAGCGUUGGCGGUGAUCGUUGUAGUGAAUGUGCAUGAUCUUCUAGCUCACCUCGCUGGAAUCGAUUAUAGAUUUCUAUUGCUCGGAUUUGACCCGCAGCUUGCCCUCGUCGAAUUCGCUGUGCCCGUAGUUCACUCCGUAGGAACAAUUCUCAACUUCAUAGCCAUUCUGUUUCUCUUCACUCAGGCAGAAAAGGGGUAUGGCAGUCACAAAAUGGAGAAG
rnacentral:misc_RNA from 1 species